rnacentral:misc_RNA from 1 species
GAUGAAGAACGUAGCGAAAUGCGAUACUUGGUGUGAAUUGCAGAAUCCCGUGAACCAUCGAGUCUUUGAACGCAAGUUGCGCCUCAAGCCAUUAGGUUGAGGGCACGUCUGCCUGGGCGUCACAUAUCGUUGCCUGAUGCCAGUUUCCUCGUGAUGGGUGACUGUGCAGGGCGAAUGAUGGCUUCCCGUGAGCAUUGUUGCCUCAUGGUUGGUUGAAAAUUGAGUCCUUGGUAGGGAGCGCCGUGAUAGAUGGUGGUUGAGUGACGAACGAGACCCAAUCAUGUGAGACCCCUACCGAAUUUGGCCUUCAUGACCCACAUGCGUCCCUUGGAUGCUCCCUAAGGAGACCUCAGGUCAGGCGGGGCUACCCGCUGAGUUUAAGCAUAUCAAUAAGCGGAGGA